AGUACAGUUGCAGGCCCACCAUUGCUUAAUGAACUGCCUGAGCCCACGAACAAACCAGCCCCGAUACCGCCACCAAUUGCAAUCAUCCGCAGAUGCCGGCUCGUCAGCGUCUGGUUUAAGUGGUUAUGUUUGUCCGCGAGUGUUCUUCUUUUGAAUGACUCGGGAGUGCACCCCAUGCGUGUCCAGAAACCCAACUCAUACUGGGUUUCAGAAGUCCCGAGUACUUGGCUCCCAGUAUCUUCUAAGUAAGCCGGCUCAGGGGCAACCGGAACCUGCUCCAUCUUGGAGCCUUUUUCUUGGUCUACCAUCUUCAUGAUGACAGGACACACAGAUCAGUCGGGAAUGAGAACGCAAAGACGGAUCAAGGCGCAAGAGGGACAAGUGACAGGAGCGGAGAGUGAUAAGACAACAGCGGAAUAGAAUAUACUCUGCGGCAACGGGGCAGGACAAGGGCACACACGAUGUCAAAAAGGAACUAGGUGGUGUCAAACGCCAAUACCACCUAUGGUUGCUCACACUGCGGAGAUGGACAAUGAGAACAACGACAAAAACGGCGACAGCGAAGCAACGGAGAUGGGAUAGGAAUUGUGUCCCUUGAUAUACGAAACUUGAAAAAUAGAGCCUGUAUCUAUCCCGCAAUGUUGCCUUGACCUGGUUGGCUCGUCUGGAGCCACGGCAAAUUGUGAGAUUCGGUUGACCCGCCCCCACCGGCUGACUUGAUCCCUUGUGUGUUCCAUGGCUGUUAUUGCGGGUCAUGAAAUAAAGGGGAGUAAAUACUAAUACCGAAGGAAGGGGAUCAUAUCGCGCGUGGCGGCGACAUCAAUGGGGGCCGAAGGACCCAACUCCAAACUUCUGAAAAGCAUGUUACACCCAUAAAGGGAAAGAAAAAGGACAGCACAGCACUCCGCACAGGAAGCGCGAGCUAACCCAUCAAAACAGGGUCCCCUUUGCGGGACGGGAGGCAUCACGGAAUUCCCGUAUCACUGUCACUGGAA
rnacentral:sRNA from 2 species